rnacentral:lncRNA from 8 species
UAACCUGAUAGGCUGUUUAUCUAUACUUACAUUACACUUGGAUUAAGUGUCUGUGUGGAGUGGGAACGAAAGGACUGCUUAUCUUGAGGUCUGUGAUGACUAUGGACAGUGCACUAUGCUGACUAGCGGUAAAGGCUACCCAGAUUGGCUGCCAUGAUCAGCACAUCAAGCACUCGUCCGUUUCUGGCGGUUGCGCCUCGCAUUUCUCCAAACAUGGCCACAUACACAGAGGAGGACAGUGAGGAUGAAAUAGAUGAAACUUCUCCUGGCCCAGGGCGUCUGUUCAAUGUGAACAACAGUAACAACAAUGAGGAGUGAGUCAGUCCCCAUAUACUGUGUGUGUGUGUUGUAUGUGUGUAGUAGUGGUAGUAGUAGUUUUAUUACAUUACAUGUUGGCCAUAAAUGGCAACUAAAAAUGUAAUUCGUUCACAGCACAUACAAGUAAGCAAAAACAGCAAAAAAAAUCAGGAAGUUUAUUUAUUAUUUUACCUUUAUUUAACUAGGCAAUUCAGUAUAGAACAAAUUCUUAUUUACAAUGAUAGCCUAGGAACAGUGGGUUAACUGCCUUGUUCAGGGACAGAAAGACAGAUUUUUACCUUGUCAGCUUGGGGAUUUGAGCAUGCAACCUUUCGGUUAAUAGUCCAACGCUCUAACCACUAGGCUU